rnacentral:rRNA from 1 species
GAUGAAUGCUGGCGGCGUGCCUAACACAUGCAAGUCGAGCGGUAACGGGUCCUUCGGGAUGCCGACGAGCGGCGGACGGCUGAGUAACGCGUGGGAACAUGCCCCAAAGUGAGGAAUAAGCACCGGAAACGGUGUCUAAUGCCGCAUAUGGUCUUCGGAUUAAAGGAUUUAUCCGCUUUGGGAGUGGCCCGCGUUCGAUUAGGUAGUUGGUGAGGUAAAGGCUCACCAAGCCUAUGAUCGAUAACUGGUCUGAGAGGAUGAUCAGUCAGACUGGAACUGAGAUACGGUCCAGACUCCUACGGGAGGCAGCAGUGAGGAAUAUUCCACAAUGGGGGAAACCCUGAUGGAGCAACGCCGCGUGCAGGAUGAAGGCCUUCGGGUCGUAAACUGCUUUUAUAAGUGAAGAAUAUGACGGUAGCUUAUGAAUAAGCACCGGCUAACUACGUGCCAGCCGCCGCAGUA